UCCCUGAUAGCUCAGUUGGUAAAGCAUCUGCCUGCAAUGUGGGAGACCUGGGUUUGAUCCCUGGGUUGGGAA
rnacentral:tRNA from 1 species